GACAGAGGGGGCAAGCGUUGCUCGGAAUCACUGGGCGUAAAGGGCGCGUAGGCGGGAUGGCAAGUCGGUCGUGAAAUCCCUCGGCUCAACCGAGGAACGUCGGCCGAUACUGCCGUUCUUGAGGGAUGCAGAGGAGACUGGAAUUCCCGGUGUAGCGGUGAAAUGUGUAGAGAUCGGGAGGAACACCGGUGGCGAAGGCGGGUCUCUGGGCAUUUCCUGACGCUGAGGCGCGAAAGCGUGGGGAGCAAACGGG
rnacentral:rRNA from 1 species